CCUUCUGCAACUCACCUAUCGCCAUCUCCUUUCCUUUAUCUUACUCUAUACAGAAAAAUGGAGCUAGAGCAACCAAUCCCCAGAAAUACUCCUAACGUUCAAAAACUUAGCUCUUCCAGUUUAGAAACUACUGAUACAUACACUUCGAGAUCGACUACCUCGUCGAAAACUACAAGUCAUUCGACGUCGUACAAUGAUCUUUGCAAUCGCUCCGAAUCGUUUCGGACACUGGAGAUGGGCAUUCCGAAGGACGUUUCGCCGGAGAAACGACUUGCUUGGUUGCGAUCUCAAAUUGUGGGUAAUGGUGUGGAAUUUGAUUCUCCGUUUGGGGUGUGGAAUUUGAUUCUCCGUUUGGAAAACGAACGCUUACUUAUGCUGAUCAUACUGCCUCCGGCAAGUCUCUUCACUAUAUCGAGAAUUUCAUCAUUGACAAUGUUCUUCCUUUUUAUGGGAACACUCACACGUGUGACAGUUACGUGGGACAACGAACAACAAAAAUGUUACACGAAGCCACUCAAUACAUAAAGAAAUGCUUAGGCGGCGGAUUAGACGACGCGAUAAUCUUCUGCGGCUCGGGCACCACUGCAGCGAUUAAACGAUUGCAAGAGACAGUGUGCAUUGCGGUUCCAUCGAUUAUGAGAGAUAGGCUAAUAAAAUGCCUUACCAAUGAAGAGAGGUGGGUUGUCUUUGUUGGACCUUAUGAGCACCACUCGAACCUUCUUUCAUGGCGGCAGAGCUUAGCUGAAGUGAUAGAGAUUGGUACUGAUGAUGCUGGGUUAAUAGACAUGGAAGCUUUAGACAUGGAAGCUUUAGAGGAACGACUUAGCGUUUAUAGGAAUGCGAAUCGGCCGAUUUUGGGGUCGUUUUCAGCUUGUAGUAAUGUAACUGGGAUUUGUUCUGAUACUCGAGGAAUCGCUCAGCUUAUUCAUAAAUACGGAGGAUUCGUGUGUUUUGAUUUUGCGGCAAGUGGGCCAUACACAGAUAUUGACAUGAGGUCUGGUGAGAUGGACGGGUAUGAUGCUAUUUUUCUGAGCCCACAUAAGUUUCUUGGUGGGCCCGGAUCGCCUGGAAUUCUUCUGAUGAGUAAAGCUCUUUAUCAGCUAAGAUCUUCUCCUCCGUCAACUUGUGGAGGAGGAACAGUUUCUUAUGUCAAUGGCUUCAAUGAAAAGGACACACUAUAUUGGGAGGACAUAGAAGAGAGAGAAAAUGGAGGAACACCACAAAUAAUACAAACAAUUAGGGCAGCAUUGGCAUUUUGGGUUAAAGAAUACAUAAGUUACAAAGUGAUUGAAAAACAAGAAAACAACUACAUAGAAAAAGCAUUGGAGAGGCUGAAAUCCAACAAAAAUAUAUUGGUUUUAGGAAAAAAUAAUAGCAAGAGCAAAAAGAGACAAGCUAUAUUCUCCUUCCUCAUAUAUUCUACAACUACUAGUAGUGAAUUUUUAGAGGCAAAGGGAGAAGAAGAUCUUAACAUGUGGGCAGAGACAGGAAACAAAAGAGAUAAGCCUUUACAUGGAGCAUUUGUUGCUGCUUUGCUUAAUGACUUGUUUGGAAUUCAAGGUGGGAGUGCCUGUGCUGGUCCUUAUGGUCAUUUUUUGCUCAACAUCAAUCAGACUACCUCUCUUGCAAUUAGAUCAGCAAUACAAAAGGGUUGGGGAGUAAAGCCAGGAUGGACAAGGAUUAGUUUCCCAUAUUACAUGUCUGAAGAGGAGUUUGAGUUCAUUCUUGCAGCAGUUGAAUUUAUAGCCAUUUACGGCCAACGAUUUCUUCCAUUGUAUCAUUUCAAUUGGAAAAACGGCAACUGGACUUUCAAGAAAAAGACAUUUAAGGACUUGCUAUUAGCUUGUGGUGGGAGAAUUGUCAACAAACAUACCUCCUAUUUAGAGAUGGCAAAAAAUAUUGCUAAUUUGCUUCCAAAAUUUCCAAAAUUUCCUUCUCAACGUAAGCUUCCGGAAGAUUUAGAUCACAAUCUCCUGUAUUUCAGAGUCUAAAUUUCAUUGUAAAAGCCUGCAACAAAAAAUUUGCCAAUUUAUUACAAGCUUUUGCUAUGAAAUACGUUAUCUUGUUUA